CCUACGGGAGGCAGCAGUGGGGGAUAUUGCACAAUGGGGGAAACCCUGAUGCAGCGACGCCGCGUGGGUGAAGAAGCGCCUCGGCGCGUAAAGCCCUGUCAGCAGGGAAGAAAAUGACGGUACCUGAAGAAGAAGCCCCGGCUAACUACGUGCCAGCAGCCGCGGUAAUACGUAGGGGGCAAGCGUCAUCCGGAUUUACUGGGUGUAAAGGGGGCGCAGACGGCGAUGCAAGCCAGGAGUGAACGCCCGGGGCCCAACCCCGGGACUGCUCUUGGAACUGCGUGGCUAGAGUGCAGGAGGGGCAGGCGGAAUGCCUGGUGGAGCGGUGAAAUGCGUAGAUAUCAGGAGGAACACCGGUGGCGAAGGCGGCCUGCUGGACUGCAACUGACGUUGAGGCCCGAAAGCGUGGGGAGCAAACAGGAUUAGAUACCCGGGUAGUC
rnacentral:rRNA from 1 species